rnacentral:rRNA from 1 species
AUUGAACGCUGGCGGCAUGCUUUACACAUGCAAGUCGAACGGUAACGCGGGGCAACCUGGCGACGAGUGGCGAACGGGUGAGUAAUGCAUCGGAACGUGCCCGGUAGUGGGGGAUAACUGCUCGAAAGAGCAGCUAAUACCGCAUACGACAUGAGGGUGAAAGGGGGGGAUCGCAAGACCUCUCGCUAUUGGAGCGGCCGAUGUCGGAUUAGCUAGUUGGUGGGGUAAGGGCCCACCAAGGCGACGAUCCGUAGCUGGUCUGAGAGGACGACCAGCCACACUGGGACUGAGACACGGCCCAGACUCCUACGGGAGGCAGCAGUGGGGAAUUUUGGACAAUGGACGCAAGUCUGAUCCAGCCAUGCCGCGUGCGGGAAGAAGGCCUUCGGGUUGUAAACCGCUUUUGUCAGAGAAGAAAUCUUCUGGGUUAAUACCUCGGGAGGAUGACGGUAUCUGAAGAAUAAGCACCGGCUAACUACGUGCCAGCCGCCGCAGUAAAAC